rnacentral:rRNA from 1 species
AGUGAACGCUGGCGGUAGGCCUAACACAUGCAAGUCGAACGGCAGCACAGUAAGAGCUUGCUCUUACGGGUGGCGAGUGGCGGACGGGUGAGGAAUACAUCGGAAUCUACUUUUUCGUGGGGGAUAACGUAGGGAAACUUACGCUAAUACCGCAUACGACCUACGGGUGAAAGCAGGGGAUCUUCGGACCUUUCGCGAUUGAAUGAGCCGAUGUCGGAUUAGCUAGAUGGCGGGGUAAAGGCCCACCAAGGCGACGAUCCGUAGCUGGUCUGAGAGGAUGAUCAGCCACACUGGAACUGAGACACGGUCCAGACUCCUACGGGAGGCAGCAGUGGGGAAUAUUGGGCAAUGGGCGAAAGCCUGAUCCAGCCAUACCGCGUGGGUGAAGAAGGCCUUCGGGUUGUAAAGCCCUGUUGUUGGGAAAGAAAAGCAGCAGGUUAAUACGCCGCUGUUCUGACGGUACCCAAAGAAUAAGCACCGGCUAACUUCGUG